UACGUAGGGUGCAAGCGUUAAUCGGAAUUACUGGGCGUAAAGGGCUCGUAGGCGGCCAACUAAGUCAUACGUGAAAUCCCUCGGCUUAACCGGGGAACUGCGUCUGAUACUGGAUGGCUUGAGUUCGGGAGAGGGAUGCGGAAUUCCAGGUGUAGCGGUGAAAUGCGUAGAUAUCUGGAGGAACACCGGUGGCGAAGGCGGCAUCCUGGACCGACACUGACGCUGAGGAGCGAAAGCCAGGGGAGCAAACGGG
rnacentral:rRNA from 1 species